UGAUCAAUAAAUGAUUGCAAUUUGCAAAGCAUGAAUCUGUCCAAUUAUAUUUUAUUAUUUUUACAAUGGUCAUUAUUAAAACAGCUUGAUGGCUCACAAAGGGAUAAGCACAAGGCUUAUAAAACGACCCAUGAACAAACAAUAUUGAAUACCAACAAACAACAAAAAGCCAAUCACCAAGCAAAACACUAAUAUAAGAAGAGAAAACGCAAAGCUUGAAACAUGAAAGGAAUAAAAAGAGGCACAAAUAUUUUUAAUAUUUCAAUGGUCAUCUCUGCUCCAGGUGAGAGAAACACGUAUCAGAAGAGUUCAUUCAUUGCUUAGAUAGAUACCACCAUUUUCUUUAGGAGAGAUUAAUGUGGUUGCUUUUUUUGUUUGAUCCUAUAAUGAUACAUGUCGCUCUCACCUGGAGCAAAGCUGCCCAAUGCUUCAUAACACCACGAACGAGUUAAGAAGCUGCCAUCAAAUCUUUCCUCUAAAGUCUAAACUGGUGAGUUUAUCGUUAAGAUCUUUGGUUUUGGAAAAGUCUUCAUCUUUACUUUAUUAUGUUCGACAACAUGUCAUUUCAAUCUUAUAAUUCAUAAAAAAAAAAAUCACUUAAUUCUUUACACUUCAUGAAACAUUUUAUAUUGUAUUUACCGAUCGAAUUUUCUAAAAUUGGGAGUUCUGAAAAGGAAAAAUCUAUUAAUAUAAGUGUUAUCACUUUAGUGUUUUGAAUUGAUUGAUACAUUUUUAAUAAAUGUUCCCACUUUAGUUCUAGAAAUUUUAAAAAAAUAAAAUUAUUUUCCAUAAUUAAUGUGUUAGUUAUGACUCUAAGUUCGUCUGAUGCUUUUACUGUCUUCAUACUUUUCGUCUAACCAACGCAUUCAUGACCUCUUCAAAUGGUCCAUAAUGAAUAUUCUAAAAUUUCAUUUUAAUCAGAGAUUUCACAAAUGAGAAACAAACAAGACCAUCUCUGUCGUCCUCGGUUUUUCUCGUGAGAUACGAACUGACUCUUCUUUUAUUUUUGAGUUUUGAAAAUCAGAGAGUUGUCACCGACUUUUAUUUUAUCCAAUUAAGGAAAGGUUUAUAAAAGAAAUAGAAAAAGACCUUUAAGAGAUUUUGGGUUCGGGGGUAGGUUAUACAAAGGGAAGGUAUUAGCACCCAUUUGUAUCCAUGGUUAUCCAUGGGCUCUUAAUUGCUUAGCUCACUUGUUUGAAUCAUUUGUCUUGCCUUGAAAUGCUUGUAUGUGGUCUUAAAAUACCUUUGCAAAUUAACUUUGUAAUGAUCAUUGUGCGGAUGUAUACAAAGUGUUUUAUCUUUCGAAAGAUAUUUUGAAAAAAAGAUCUUUAACUUCGUAAUGAUCCUUGUUUGGAUAUAUACAAAAUGUUGUCUUUUUUUGAAAGUUUUGAAAAACAAUGAUAUAUGAUACAUUUGUUGUUUUGUUUGAUUUGAGCAAGCAAUUGGGAGAUCUACCCUAAGUUUAUAUGGUCUUUUCCUAUUUCUUUUAGAAAAUUCUCCUUUGACCGGAUGUAAACAAAAGUUUGGAUUUGUAUUUGAAACAGUAGAAUUGAUUUUGAAAAGAGUAACAGAGGGAUUACCCUAAGAGGUGCAAGUGUGAUUUGUGUUUUGUUUCAGAUAUUGUUGUCUUUUGAAAUUAGUGAUCUAGCGCUUCAUUUUUUAUCUUUUGACAUACACGCAGUUUUAUAUGUACAGAAAUUAAAGUGCGGGAAUGUAAAAUGCAGAAAAUAAAUCUACGCUAUUACAUCGAUUGUGCGGGAAAUAUAAACUAUGCUAUUUACAUGAUUUUGACAACCUAUACACUUAUCUAGGAAUUUAAAUUGCAAUAAGAUAAAAGGAAGUAUUUUUGGAUUUUUUAGAUGGUUGAUUUUAAUUAGAAUUAAUGCAUAAUUAAUUUAAUUAAAUAAAAAAAGGUAGAAAUAAAAUUUAAACCUAAAAUAAUAAGUUUAAAAUAUGUUCAUAUUGCUUGUUAAUUAAUUUUAAAAUAAAAUUAAUUUUUUUUGAGAUUUUUUGAAAUGAUUUUUUGAAAUUAUUAAGUUAAAUUAACAUAUAAUUAUACAAAUAAUUACACACAUAAUUUAAAAUUAAAGAGAUAAAUAUUCUAAAUAUGUACAAAAUUAGUUUAUAAUAUAUAAACCUAAUUUAAUAAAAAGAAAAUAUUUUUUUUGAUUUUUUUGAUAAGUUGAAAUAAUUAGAAAGCAAAUAUAUAAAUAUAUACUAAUUAAUUAAACAAUAUAUUUUAAAUAUAAAGAAAAAUAAAAUAUUUUUUUGUAUCAAAAAAUAAUAUAUUAUUUUAUAAACCUAAAAAUAUUUUUAUUAUAUUUUUUUUUAUUUUUAAAACUAUUUUUUAAUAAUUUUAGAAGUUAUAUUAAAAAAGGAAUUAAAAUUAUUAAAGAAAAGAUCCUGUGUGGUGACUUAUGGUGGAUUAUGGUGGUCUGCGCAUGCUAGGACGUUGGAUCAGAUUAUUAGGUGAUCUUGUGGUUCAGAUUUGAAGUCACAUGGUGCACGUGGAUAGAGAAGCAACAUAGGAUAAGUCAGCAUUCAAGAUUUCCAGGUGGGACCCACGCGAAGCUGACCAGCGAAUAGAAAGAGUGGGAUAUGCCACGCGUGUUGGUCAAAGUUUCAAACUUACUAUUCAUCAUCUUCUUCCUUUUACCUGCGGAAUUAGCUGCAGACUUACCUGCAGAAUUUCCUACGGAUUUUCCUUCAGAUUUCCAUGCUUUUGAAAACCUACAAAAACGGCCAUGAACAAAAACAAGGGGCACCCAAGUCGACUUAAAAUGACCUCCUGAACACGAUGGUGGCGUUAGUUUUGGCUAAAAACGCAUGGAACAUGGUAUUCGAAUGUUCACAUACUUGAAAACUCAAUAAUGGUGCAUGAGAAUUCUUACGUGGAAACUUGCAUGCCUGCUAUGUACCUUCAUGCUGCAGAGUUGAAUCAUUCUUGAUGGCUUUAGCUUAAGAUCAAAGCAUUGUACCAUUAUCUUUCACCAUUUCUUUUUUAAUUUAACUUUAAAUGUAAUAAAAUUAAACCAAAAAAGAAAUAAAAAUGUUAUGGGCCUUAGGUUGGUCGUGGGAGGCCCUUAGCAUCAUUAGAA